UGGGGAAUUUUGCGCAAUGGGCUAACGCCUGACGCAGCAACGCCGCGUGGAGGAUGAAGGUCUUUGGAUUGUAAACUCCUGUCAGCGGGGAAAAAGCGACCCGUGCUCAUACCACCGGGAGUUGAUUGUACCCGCAGAGGAAGCCCCGGCUAACUCUGUGCCAGCAGCCGCGGUAAUACAGAGGGGGCAAGCGUUAUUCGGAAUUAUUGGGCGUAAAGGGCGCGUAGGCGGCCUGACAAGUGGAAGGUGAAAUCCCUCGGCUCAACCGAGGAACUGCCCUCCAAACUGCUUGGCUUGAGACCGGGAGAGGUGAGUGGAAUUCCCAGUGUAGCGGUGAAAUGCGUAGAUAUUGGGAGGAACACCAGUGGCGAAGGCGGCUCACUGGACCGGUACUGACGCUGAGGCGCGAAAGCGUGGGGAGCAAACGGGAUUAGAUACCCGGGUAGUCC
rnacentral:rRNA from 1 species